rnacentral:RNase_P_RNA from 1 species
CAUGCCCAUCGGGCAGUCGCCUCUGCCUUGUGCAGGGGAGGAAAGUCCGAACUCCAUAGGGCUGGGUGCCGGAUAACGUCCGGGCGUCGAAAGACGACGGAAAGUGCAACAGAAAAGAUACCGCCUUCAGGUAUCUCGGUUCUGCCGGGAUCAUGUGGGUAAGGGUGAAAUGGUGCGGUAAGAGCGCACCGGCAGGCUGGAGACAGCCUGGCCUUGUAAACCCCACCCGGAGCAAGACCAUAUAGGAGUGCCGUCUUCGGAGCUGCGCGGCCCGUGCAGUGAACCCCGCUUUGCGGGACCGGCAUUCGGGUAGGUCGCGUGAAUCUCACGGCAACGUGGGAUCCAGAUAGAUGACUGCCUCUUUCGCUUCGGCGAAAAAGACAGAAUUCGGCUUACAGAUGGGCUUGAGUU